rnacentral:rRNA from 1 species
GACAGAGGUGCCAAGCGUUAGGCGGAAUCACUGGGCUUAAAGCGCGUGUAGGUGGCGGCCUAAGUACCUUGUGAAAUCCCGCGGCUCAACCGCGGAACUGCUUGGUAUACUGGGUCGCUUGAGUCAUCCAGGGGCAACUGGAACAAGCGGUGGAGCGGUGAAAUGCGUAGAUAUCGCUUGGAACGCCAAAGGUGAAAACAGGUUGCUGGGGAUGUUCUGACACUGAGACGCGAAAGCCAGGGGAGCGAACGGG